rnacentral:rRNA from 1 species
GGAUUAGAUACCCGGGUAGUCCAUGCCGUAAACGAUGAACACUAGGUUUCGGACUCGUCAACGGUUCGGAGCCGCAGCUAACGCGUUAAGUGUUCCGCCUGGGGAAUACGGUCGCAAGACUGAAACUCAAAGGAAUUGACGGGGGCCCGCACAAGCGGUGGAGCAUGUGGUUUAAUUCGACGCAACGCGCAGAACCUUACCAGGGCUUGACAUGGAGGUGACCGGACGAGAGAUCGUCCUUCUCCCGCAAGGGAGCACCUCACACAGGUGCUGCAUGGCUGUCGUCAGCUCGUGUCGUGAGAUGUUGGGUUAAGUCCCGCAACGAGCGCAACCCUCGUUUCUAGUUGCCAUCAUUCAGUUGGGCACUCUAGAGAGACUGCCGCGAAUAACG